UGAUGAUGGUGAUGAUGAUGAUGAUCAUGGCGGUGAUGAUGAUGAUGAUAAUGAUGGUGAUCACCAUCGUCGUUGUUAUUGUCAUCAUCAUCAUCAACA
rnacentral:pre_miRNA from 1 species